rnacentral:rRNA from 1 species
AACGAACGCUGGCGGCAUGCCUAACACAUGCAAGUCGAACGAGACCUUCGGGUCUAGUGGCGCACGGGUGCGUAACGCGUGGUAACCUGCCCUUAGGUUCGGAAUAACUCCCCGAAAGGGGUGCUAAUACCGGAUAAUGUCUUCGGACCAAAGAUUUAUCGCCUUUGGAUGGGCCCGCGUUGGAUUAGCUAGUUGGUAGGGUAAAAGCCUACCAAGGCGACGAUCCAUAGCUGGUCUGAGAGGAUGAUCAGCCACACUGGGACUGAGACACGGCCCAGACUCCUACGGGAGGCAGCAGUGGGGAAUAUUGGACAAUGGGCGAAAGCCUGAUCCAGCAAGGCCGCGUGAGUGAUGAAGGCCUUAGGGUUGUAAAGCUCUUUUAACCGGGAUGAUAAUGACAGUACCGGGAGAAUAAGCUCCGGCUAACUCCGUG